rnacentral:lncRNA from 1 species
AUGUUAUCGCUCCCGCUGCGAGCCCAGCCGCGCCGCCUUUGCUCAGCUGCUUGCUCGUGCUCGCAGCACCGACCCUCUGGGCUGGCGCCAGGCAGGCGGCAGCUCGGGGGCUGCUGCGCGGCGUGGAGGUUUCUGCGUAAAGCAGCCACCGGCUGCCCGCUGCCUGCAGGGCUGGCACAGCCUCCUGCGCGCUCACCAAGCCGGGGGAAGGGGGCCCUUCGCUGCUUGGUGGUCCCAGCAUCUCUGCUUGACACGGAGAAUUCCUGCUCCCCUCCGCUGGGGCCCUUGGGUGACGUUUGUGUGCUCAGAGUGAGGGAGAAAUCCCGACGUCUGUGCGCAGCCCUGGUUGGGAUUCAUUUCUGCUGCCUUCUGACGGCCAAAGCAAGGAGAGGAGAGGGACCAGGCUCCCUGCAGCCCCCCGGGGAUUGUGUAGCCCUGUGGGCGAUGUGGAGCUCAGGGCUCCUCUCCUUGCAGCUCCAGCCCUGCUGCUGCCCCUGGCCUUGCACAAGGGCCGAUGACCCUGCAGUGAUCAGCCCUGCCUCAGCAUCCCCAUCGCACGCAGCCCCCCUGCUCUCACCACAGCAGCAUUUUCCUUCCCAGAGGCCAUGUCUGGUCUGGUCUGCCAAGCCCGGUGCCACGACUCUGCUAACCCCAUCCUACCCUGCUGCUAUCCAGCCUCACGCAUACAUUUCAACCAGGGCGAUGCUCUUCGCACAACCACCGCUGGUUUUUAGGCCGCGAGCUGGUGGUGCCUUGUUUUACCAGGCUGACACUGGCCCCGCUGGGGAAAGCCAGCGGGUGCUAGCGGGGCGAACGGUGCUUUGCUUUCCCUCGCCAUGCCCUGCGGCAGCCCCCUGGGCUCUCCUGGACUCGGUGGCUUCCCCCUGUCCUUCCCCGAGCCCUGCUGGGGUGCAUUCCUGGGCUGUUUGCACAUUUCCCACACUGCUGGCACCGUUCCCUCAGCCCAUCCCCAGCACACCGGCCCAGCUGCCAGCUGCACCGCAGCGACUGGGGGAAAGUUUAGGUCUCAUUGUUCUCGCAGGUUAA